AACUUUGCUGAUAGCCGUGUAAUGUACGUGUAAAUGUACAAGACAAUAUUAGUAAAUACAAUGUUGACAAACAGCUGUAUAUGUAUGUAUAUGCAAACACACAGUCAUCUUGAAGUAUAUAAUGCACAUUGGGAAUACUCGACUCGUACAAUAAGCUGGAAAGGCUGACUCGUAACAUUUUUUUUGCUUGCGUGUGGGCGUUUACAUUUUGCAAUGAUGACCAACAAUUAGCCACCGUAUUGUAAUUUAAGUAUAUUGACUAUCCUGUUAACAAAACACACCCAAAAAUAAAUUAAUUUAGCCAUUUAAGAUAACAUUUGCUUUAUUUGCGAAAAUGAAAUUGAAAUGCAAGGUGGUUUGUUUAAUAGGCGCAAUGGCUAUGUUUAUUAUGUGUAUUUUUUGCGUGUAACGGGGAACGGGAAAUUUAAUGUAUACGUUAGUUAAGUGAGUGAAAUUGUAAAAUAUGACAGAUAUUAAAGGAAAUUGGCGAAAUUGAUAUUAGCUAAUAAAGGAAAGUCCGUCCUGCUGCACAUUCUUUUUGUUUUAACCGAAGCCUCUAUUUAUAGGGGUACUGUCAGAGCUUGUUAAGUGGCAUCGAUAGUGGAUUAGAUCAGCAUAUUACUCAGCUAGUGCUGUAUUUACAUAAUACUACCUCGCAGUUGACUGAGAUGACUUAUUACAUAUACCAAACGGAUAAUAAACAACUAAUCGCCUACCAAUCAUUUGAGGAUGAAUCACUCAACGAAUGUUACGGUGCUUUUUUGAAUACAAUCUCAUUUUUUUAUUAAACAAAAUUAUCUUAUCAAACGAAAAUGUGCGAAAUUGAUUUGAAUAUGAAAACAAAAACAGAAAUGAACAGAAAUUGUUGGGUUUGUAGUGAGGCGAGAAAAUAUCAAAAAAAUAAAAUAAUAUUGCUAUGAAAAACCUUAUACUACGGAAACGUUUAAAACAAAGCCAGAUAAGUGACUACCGCACAAAGUAAGUUGAUUGCACGCAUUUCCUUAGAUGAAAAAAUGCAUUUAUUACAACAAUUUAUAUGAGCUAUGAGUCAAUGCUAUUAUGCAGCUUAAAUGACAUUGGGAUUUUCUGAAACAACAACAUAAAUAAUGCAACCAAAAUCAACAUUCACUUCAUGAUUUAAGAAAUUGUAAAUUCGUAAAAAAAAAUUACAAAAAUUGACAGCAUGAGCAUUUUCAAAGAAAUCAUACGUUUUACGAAAGAGUCUUACAUAAGUUUAGACUACCCGUUUUGUGAGCAGUCGAGUUCACUUAGACGAAAUGGAUCUAAAUGUUUAGAUGUCUCAAUCAGUACUAUAUUUCCAUAUUACUACUAGAAGUACAACAAAAACAGUGAUUACCAACACGGCCGGUAUAGAUAUUUCUCGAAGAGUACAACAUCACUGAAAAUCAACUUUAAGCCGAUAUCGAGAAGCACAUACAAAUUCCAUUAGACGAUAUAUUAGUCUCAGCGUCCGUCCUGCAAUCUAAUUUCGUGGAAAGGUGAUGUUUUCGCAAUCGAAAUUGUAAUUUAUAUAAAUAAUUUUAAAACCUGUCAUUACUACUGUAACUCUAAUUUGAUUUUGACUUUAAAUGGUGGUCAGGUUAAUGUGUUGAAAUUAUUAUAUUUACAUACAUACAUCUAUAAAUACAGAUAUAUAUAUUUUUUUUGACCAACUGCAACCUAAUAUACAAUCAUAUAUAGUUGUUGUAGCACACUAUCAAUGCGGGUUUGUGCACACUUGCCGCAUUUAAUUAAUUAUAAAACCAGCUACAGCAGCUUACUUAACCCUAUAAAUGUAAAUAAAUGAAUGGACGUAUCCACAUCUGACAUUCACGGCACAACGCGAUAAUAGUAAUAUGACAAUAAAAUCACUAUUGUCCAGAAAUAGUUAAGACAUACACAUGUGUGUGCAUCCGAGUGUGUGUGAAAGUAUAUGUAUCUUUCCCUUAAGUUAACCAACAAGCUCAUCCAGCUCGUCGUUGGACAAAUAGUCAAACAAUCACUCAAGUAGUCAAUCAUUUAAUGCCGUCAGCCCAACCUAACAAAGCUGAGAAAAACUAAGCGCUGCUAAGUCGUAUCAAAUAGUAAUAAAAUUAAAAUGAAAUGAAAAAAUCACGGCAAGUUGGCAACUGAUAUACGUUAAAGCUUUCUUUUGCGAUCAGUUGUUUCAAUCGUAUGUGCAUAUAUAUAUUUUUAUUGUAUGUAGGUAUUUCUUUUAUUUGCUACAAUUGUCUCGCAUUGCAAUUUCGAGUUAAUGUAGGUAAGCGCGUGCGUGCGACUAUUCGCUGUAGUUGCAGAAAAAAUGCACUUUUUGAUAGCUGAAUGAGUGCAAAUAAUUUAUUGUCGGAUGCUGUAUUCCAUACGCAUAAUAAUUGCAUAUGCGAUAUGCAGCACAUAACUAUUUACUUAACUUAUUUAUGUUAAUGUAUACAUCAUAACCGCAAUUGUUAUAAAAACCAUUUAUGUGAAUAAAUAUGUAUUUACAUUA